UAGGGAAUAUUGCGCAAUGGGGGAAACCCUGACGCAGCGACGCCGCGUGAGUGAUGAAGGCCUUAGGGUCGUAAAGCUCUGUUGAAUGGGAAGAAACAAAUGACGGUACCAUUCGAGAAAGGACCGGCUAACUUCGUGCCAGCAGCCGCGGUAAGACGAGGGGUCCUAGCGUUGUUCGGAAUCAUUGGGCGUAAAGCGUAUGUAGGCUGCCAUUCAAGUCAGUUGUGAAAUCCCCGGGCUUAACCCGGGAAGUGCUUCUGAUACUGUUUGGCUUGAGUACUGGAGAGGAUAGUAGAAUUCCUGGUGUAGUGGUGAAAUACGUAGAUAUCAGGAGGAAUACCGGUGGCGAAGGCGGCUAUCUGGCCAUGUACUGACGCUGAGAUACGAAAGCGUGGGGAGCAAACA
rnacentral:rRNA from 1 species